UGGAGUUCUGAGCUGGUUUAAAAUGCACUACUGAAAUGGCUAACAGAACAAACUCCUCUGAGUAUUUUUGGUCGUAUGAAUAUUAUUGGGAUUAUAUAGAUCCAAUUCCAGUAGAUGGAAGCAAGUUGAAGGUUAAUAAAUAUUCUAUUGUCAUAGCCUUUUGGGUUGGUCUUGCUGCGUUUGUGACAUUUCUUUUCCUUAUUUUACUGUAUAUGUCCCGCUCUGGAUCAACUCCAGUAAAACAAGUGAUUGUAGGGAACCAGAUAGAAGAAAGCAGUUCCAGCGGUGAACAGCCUCACUGCGAUGAUCUCAGCAGCCCAUACCCAGAUGUGGUUGCUUCUCAAACACCUCCCUCUCUGUCAGGUGAAACUGGCAUUCAUG